UGCGCAAUGUCGUGGAGAAGUGCAUCGGGGUCCUAAAGAGCAGGUUCCGAUGCUUGCAGCGUUACCGCGCCCUGCUCUACAACCCCGAUCGAGCGGCGACCAUCAUUGCCGCUUGUACAGCUGCUGACAACAUUGCCUUGGCGGCACGUGAGCCUGCCCCGGAAGAGGACAAUGACGACAGUGACGUGCCUCCAGCUGUCCAGGAGACUGUAGAUCUGGCCGACCCGCCAGCACCACCACCGCGGGAGCUGUACCUGAGGGGCCAGCAGCAGCGCAACCGCGUGGUGAACCUUCUUCAAGGACCACGGGGCGUUCAUUUUGAUCACCUCCGGAGGGUACGCCGCCGCUUGCGGCGAGCUCGUCGGCAACGGUCAAUACAAUGCUGCAACUGUUUGGCCGCUGCAGUGCCGCAGCAAUGGCCCGCGAAAGUACCGCCACGCUGCGCAGCUUCUGCAACGCCUGGCCCUGUUGCUGCAGGAUGGUCUCCAGGGCUGAAGCCUGCCGGUCUGCAGCCUCCCUGUGCAGCCUGGCCUCGGUGGCCAGUUGUUCCAGGGCGACGGCCUGGCGCGUGGCUGCAUCCCGGAACUCGGCAAUCAGCUGGGAACGAAGAAAUACGUCGCCAAUGUCACCUCAAAAUUCUUCGCUACCGACACUUUGCUGGGAGCUUCUGUUUAUGGAUAGUCUCAGCGUGCACAACACUUUCUCUCCGCUGAAAAUCCACUGGCCCAGCGGCAUCUGUCAAUGGUGCCGAGUUCAGCACACAGCCAAUUCCCGUUGUUUGGACAGACCAUACUGGUGCCGGAAUUCAUUUUCUGUCACCUCCUCGAACGCAUCUCACACCUCCAAGAAGAAGAAACCAAACAGCCCUUCUCAGGGCACGCACCAGUUUGCCUGGCGGGCGGUUUCGCAGUAUCAGCGAUUCUCUGUCCUAUAUAUAUCGUGCUCCAGCAUGCAAAACAUACCUCAAUGAAUGAUUGAUGAAGGCGUGCAGAUGUGGCAUUAUAAGUGCAUAAAUGUACAUUUGUGCUUGGUGA